rnacentral:rRNA from 1 species
AGCAGCCGCGGUAAUUCCAGCUCCAAUAGCGUAUAUUAAAGUUGUUGCAGUUAAAAAGCUCGUAGUUGAAUUUCGAGACCGGUUUACUGGUCGUGCUUUUGUACGUACUGGUAUUAUUGGUUUCUCCUUUCUGACGAACUAUAAUGCCAUUAAUUUGGUGUUAUAGGGAAUCAGGACUGUUACUUUGAAAAAAAUUAGAGUGUUUAAAGCAGGCUCACGCUUGAAUACAUUAGCAUGGAAUAACGGAAUAGGACGUUUGAUUCUAUUUUGUUGGUUUCUAGGAUCGACGUAAUGAUUAAUAGGGAUAGUUGGGGGCAUUAGUAUUCAAUUGUCAGAGGUGAAAUUCUUGGAUUUAUUAAAGACUAACUACUGCGAAAGCAUUUGCCAAGGAUGUUUUCAUUAAUCAAGAACGAAAGUUAGGGGAUCGAAGACGAUCAGAUACCGUCGUAGUCUUAACCAUAAACUAUGCCGACUAGGGAUCGGAUGAUGUUAAUUUUUUAAUUGACUCAUUUCGGCGCCU